GGUGCUGCGCUAAGAAAAGCAGCUCUGAGAGCCACGGUUGGGAGCUGGCCUGGAUGCCCUGAUGAACGUAAGCAAUGCCGAGGAAUAUUAAAGUUAGAAUGAGUUCUCUCUCUGACAAAGAAGAAGAAAAUAAGACCACUUUAAUUCUGCAUGAACAGAUAAAAACAGACACUGUGCAAGCACAGAGAUGACCAAACAUCCCAUCUCCAGCUAACGAGAAACCAUGAAGGACAAAGGGCAGGAAUAACUGCAGGUGGUUAUCCCAAUAUUCAGAAAAGUGGGAGCAUGAAGGAAACCUUGUUAACACUUUUAGGUCAAAAACCUUGAAAUUCAACAUUAUGAACUCCUAUUAUGAAGAUAAAAAUCUCAAAGUUGUUCCAGUUUUGUAAGAUAACAUCUGGGUUUGUUUGUUGUUGUUGUUGUUGUUUUAUAAAUAAAGUAGUCAAAAUGUAC